UGGGGGAUAUUGCACAAUGGGGGAAACCCUGAUGCAGCGACGCCGCGUGAGUGAAGGAGUAUUUCGGUAUGUAAAGCUCUAUCAGCAGGGAAGAAGAUGACAGUACCUGACCAAGAAGCCCCGGCUAACUACGUGCCAGCAGCCGCGGUAAUACGUAGGGGGCAAGCGUUAUCCGGAUUUACUGGGUGUAAAGGGAGCGUAGACGGCAUGGUAAGUCUGGAGUGAAAGCCCGCGGCCCAACCGCGGGACUGCUCUGGAAACUGCUAAGCUAGAGUACAGGAGGGGCAGGCGGAAUUCCUGGUGUAGCGGUGAAAUGCGUAGAUAUCAGGAGGAACACCGGCGGCGAAGGCGGCCUGCUGGACUGCAACUGACGUUGAGGCUCGAAAGCGUGGGGAGCAAACAGG
rnacentral:rRNA from 1 species